GACAGAGGGUGCAAACGUUGUUCGGAAUCACUGGGCGUAAAGCGCGUGUAGGCGGCAGAGCGUGUCGGGUGUGAAAGCCCUGGGCUUAACCUAGGAAGUGCACUCGAAACUGCUCAGCUUGAGUUCCGGAGAGGAUAGUGGAAUUCUCGGUGUAGAGGUGAAAUUCGUAGAUAUCGAGAGGAACACCGGUGGCGAAGGCGGCUAUCUGGACGGAAACUGACGCUGAGACGCGAAAGCGUGGGUAGCAAACAGG
rnacentral:rRNA from 1 species